UUGAUACAUUGCAUCGCAAGUUUAAGAGCCCAGCUGAAAUUAAAUCUCCCAGUAAAUCAGGAGGUUCUCGAAGACAUAGCAGUGACACCGCUUCUGAGAAGGGUUCUCUGUCCCAAGCACAAUCAAGAGCAUCAUCACCUUCCAAACAUGUAGCAAGAUGUCAAAGCUUUCUCUUAAUAUUUCGAUGUAGACAUAGCAGUGACACCGCUUCUGAGAAGGGUUCUCUGUCCCAAGCACAAUCAAGAGCAUCAUCACCUUCCAAACAUGUAGCAAGAUGUCAAAGCUUUGCUGAAAGGCCUCUGGCCCAACCACUACCACUUCCUGGUCUGCGUCCAGCAAAUGUAGGUCGGUCAGACUCUGGAAUCAGUGCAUCUGCAAAGUCCAGAGUGGAGA
rnacentral:lncRNA from 1 species